rnacentral:rRNA from 1 species
GACGAACGCUGGCGGCGUGCCUAAUACAUGCAAGUUGAGCGCUGAAGGUUGGUACUUGUACCAACUGGAUGAGCAGCGAACGGGUGAGUAACGCGUGGGGAAUCUGCCUUUGAGCGGGGGACAACAUUUGGAAACGAAUGCUAAUACCGCAUAAAAACUUUAAACACAAGUUUUAAGUUUGAAAGAUGCAAUUGCAUCACUCAAAGAUGAUCCCGCGUUGUAUUAGCUAGUUGGUGAGGUAAAGGCUCACCAAGGCGAUGAUACAUAGCCGACCUGAGAGGGUGAUCGGCCACAUUGGGACUGAGACACGGCCCAAACUCCUACGGGAGGCAGCAGUAGGGAAUCUUCGGCAAUGGACGGAAGUCUGACCGGGCAACGCCGCGGGAGUGAAGAAGGGUUUCGGAUCGUAAAACUCUGUUGGUAGAGAAGAACGUUGGUGAGAGUGGAAAGCUCAUCAAGUGACGGUAACUACCCAGAAAGGGACGGCUAACUACGUG